rnacentral:lncRNA from 1 species
UUCCUUCUAUUCUUCUCUCUAUACGUCGGUGUUCUAACCAAUAAUCACCGAUACGAUAUUCAGUCCGAUCGAUUCAGGAACCAACUAACGAAUGCCAAAGUGCUGUCUUAAUAAGACUAUACUUUGUGAAUUUCGUUAAGGUUCUGAUCUCGUGACCAUCGUUAGGUUUGAUAUGGUUUUACUCUAAAACGUAUUCCACUCUGUUAAACUAUAUGUUUAACUAUCAGAAAACUCUGAUCCAUAACCUUACUAUCAAACAAGAUGUUUAAUCAUCAGAAGAUUCAGAACUAUAAAGUAGGUGCUUAGAAUCAAAGAGACUUGUUAAAUCAAGACUACAUUCUUAUAAAGACCCAAUAGUGAUAUGACCACAGUCAUAGAUCCGGUGAUUACAGUAGAUUGGAAUAAGAGUGAUGAUACGAUACUGAAAGGCUUAAAGAAGUGGCUUAUUUUAUCAAUUAAAUUAAAUUAAGAAAACAUUGUUUCAUAUAUUCGGGUUUAUCCCAUAUUAAAGCUACCUUUGUGAAACAUGGGUUUAUUCCCAUCUGUUUAAUAAAUAAAAUCCGGUGU